UCCACUAUGUCGGUAAAGAUGGCCAUCUAGGUGGAGCUACUACGGAAUCCUCUAUAGCAGCUCGCAUGGGUGCUCUGGAUAUACUGUGUGGUCGUCCUAUGCCUCUACCCGGCCCCAACCUCUUGCGGCUCUAGUAGGGGACAAUGGUGCCUGGUCAUCAGAUCCUCUGGUACAGGUCCUCAUCAUCUAUGAGAAAUAAUGGAAUACAGAAAUUUAAAUUUAUGUUGAUGUCAAUAAAUUUUGCACAACAAGGAAUCAAAGAAGUGUAAAUUUUUCCUAAUAGUUCCAUACCCUCCCAAAGAUAUGCACAGACGUCUCAUUCCCUAUCCGUGAGAAUCUAAUAUAUUGGCUUGUGACUCACAAAACCUAUGAACCUAGAGAUCUGAUACCAACUUGUCACGAUUCAAUCUUCCCUCCGUGAAAUUUUCCGACGGCACCUGGUCUUUACGACUGGGUAAGCCUAACAAUUGCGGAAUAACAACAAAUGAAGAAUAAAUCUAAACCACUAACAGUACAGUAAUGAAACAAAUGACAGAAAGUCUGUUCGUCAUAUACAAAAGCAACUCCCAAAUAUGUAUACGGAACUUUCCCCAACACCCAAAACAUCAUAAGUCACAAACUUUUAAGAAUUUACGAAAAGUUCUAUACACCAAUGUUUAGAAGUAAUAGAGGAAUAACUACACAAAAGAUAAAGGGGGACUCCUAGGUCUGAGGACGCGGUAGAUGUACCUUGAACUCUCUGUAACAGUAGCAGGUGCACAACUCAUAGCGAGGCUGGAAUGAUGUACCUAAAUCUGCACACGGAAACAUAAGCAGAAGAGUAGCAUGAGCACACCAUAAUAAUACUCAGUAAGUUCUAAGCCUAAUCUCGGUCGAGUAAUGACGAGGUCAUGCCAGGCCCACUGGUCUAUAAUAAAUGAAGCAGGAAAAUCUACAGUUUAACAAAUGGCUGGAACGAAACAAAGGAAAACACAGCAAUGAUAGUAACACAAUACAUAGGGAUAAACAUCAGGGUAUCUCCAGAGAUACCGAGUCGUAGUCCCAAAAUAAAUGUGCAAGAGAUCUCUUGAGGUACCGCCUCAUAGUCUCAAAAAUAAACUUACAGAGAGAACUCCCAAGGAACCUCUUGGUAGUCUCAAAAGUAAAUGUGCAGGGAGAACUCCCGAGGAACCGCCUCGUAGUCUCAAAAGUAAAUAUACAAGUGGAUCUCCCGGGAUACUGUCCCGUAGUUCUAAAGUAAUUACGCAGCUCAAACAAAUGAAGAUAAUAGUUAGAACAAGAAAACCUAUAAUUCAGACUAAGUACAAUACAAGAAGGAGCAGGAUUCAUUGAACAUGCUGCAAAGAGUUCAAAUAAGCAAUUAAGACAAGUAGGUAUGCUAUUUUAGGAUAAUGGGAUAACUACACAUGCUAGCAUACUCAGAUAAGAUGAAAACAUGCUAUUACCUAGUAAAAAUCACUUUUUUCAACAAAUAUCCUAUAUACGCACUUGUCAUCUCGCGUACACAUCGCUCACAUAUCAUAACAACACCAAAUCCUAAUAGGAUUCCCCCCACACAAGGUUAGGCAAGCCACUUACCUUGAAUCAAUCUCAAAUCAAUCCGUAACAAUUUUUUCCACGAAUAUCCAACUCAUAAUGGCCCAAAUCCAGCCAAAAUCAAUUACAUAUCAUAAAUAUAACUAUAAGAAACUAAUCUAUUUAAUGAAAUCAAAGCUAAAGAAAAAAUUAUAAAAUCUUCCUAAAAAGUAUCCCCGGACCCACGUCUCAAAUUCUGGUAAAAAUUACAAAAUAUGAACGCCCAUUAAAUCACAAGUUUAUUCAUACCAAAAUUAUUCAAAUCCGGAGUCAAAAGCUCAAUCAAAACUCAAAAUCUUAGUUGAAGAACUUUUUUCCAUUUUUUUCCAAUUUUUUAAAUGAAACUCAGUUUACUGAAAUUUUCACACCCCGGAUAUAACUCUUGUUUUCCUUCCUCCAGUAAUUUGAAAAACUUCUUUGCAUCUUCAGAUAGUCUUUCGCCAACUCCUUUUUCAUCCCCUCCCCGACCUUCUAUAUUUCUAAAUGUAUCAUGAAGUAGUCCAUCAAUAUCGUCACGGAUGGUAGAUUCUUCAUCAUCAUUGCUUGGAUGAGGUGUAUUUCUCGAGGAAAAUCCUUCCCCGUGGAAAACCCAUUUGGUAUAACCUUCAGUAAAUCCAUGAACAACCAAAUGAUCCUCCACCACAUUUCUAUAAUGCCAAUAACGAUUCAUGCACUUUUUGCAAGGGCAUAAUAUUUCAUUUCCUUGGGCGGACCGUUCAAAUGCCUUGUCAAGAAAAUCAUACACUCCAUGUAUAUACUCAUCUGUCCAUCUCAGCCAACUCCUUUUUCAUCCCCUGCCUAACUCUCUGUAUUUCUAAAUGUAUCAUGAAGUAGUCCAUCAAUAUCGUCACAGAUGGUAGAUUCUUCAUCAUUAUUUCUUGGAUGAGGUGUAUUUCUCGAGGAAAAUCCUUCCCCGUGGAAAACCCAUUUGGUAUAACCUUCAGUAAAUCUAUAAAAAACCAAAUUAUCCUCCACCACAUUUCUAUAAUGCCAAUAGCGAUUCAUGCACUUUUUGCAAGCGCAUAAUAUUUCAUUUCCUUAGGCGGCCCGUUCAAACGCCUUAUCUAGAAAAUCAUUCACUCCACGGAUAUACUCAUCCAUCCAUCUCAGGAGAUUCAUCCAACUUUUAUCACUAUUAUCAACAAAUAUCCUAUACGAUAAAACAGAGGUAUUAGUAGUAAUAAAGAACUAGCUAACAACAACAACGACAAACCUCGUAAAAUUCUACAAGUAGGGUUCUAGGGAGGGUAGUGUAUUCUUAGACCUUAUAACCCCUACCUGAGUUCUGGGAGGAUAGUGUGUUCCUAGAUCUUAUAACCCUUACCUUGAAGGUAGAAAGGUUGUUUUCGAUAGACCCCGACUCAAGGAAAGAUGAAAAGAAAGCAGUAGCAACAUGCACUAACUCCUCAACAAAUCUUCAACUUCAAUAUAUAUUCGAAAACUUGCAAUUAUCAUCGUAUGCAAGUAACUGAAUUUAAGUGUGGUGGAUUCGUUAUGGGACUAACUUUCUGCCACAGUAUAUGUGAUGGAUUCGGAACUGCACACUAUCUAAAAGCAGUAGGGGAAUUCACUAGGGGUGUCCAAAAACUUAGCGCUACACCAGUGUGGUGCAUGGAAUAUCUUCUCCCAACUCCAUCAGCUUAAAAAGGAUUAAUUGCAUCAGAUCAAGAGACCAAAGACAACUCUUCAAUGUCGCCACACUUUUCAUUAUUCAUAGUUACUUACUUUUCAUUAUUCAUAGUUACUGUCUUUUCAUGACAUAUAUGAUAAACUUGUUAUUGAAAGUUUAAAACUUUAAAGUGCUAAUCAUACAGAAGGAAAGAAAAAGGAAUUUGCAAAUUGCAACUUGCAAGGAGGUAUUAAAAGUUCUUUUUAGUACUAAAGUGUCUUCUUUUAACAUAAGGAAUUUGCACAGUUAUCUUGAAAGAAACAAAUAUGCAGUUGCAACAUUCUAGCAGUCUAUAUUAGUUUUAGCAUAAAGUUCCAGACAAGGAAACACAUCAACCUAUUGAUAAGAAGGGGCUCACAAGAGAUGCUAAACUAUAAAAUCUUGUCAAUAGGUAGUGUCAAAGAUCAAUUUAGAGGCAAAUAAAUUAACAUGUACUAAGCAAAUUAUUAAGAAAACCCAAGAACUUGAAAGUAUGCUUUGAACCACUCUACUAAAGUUUUCAUAAAUUCAAAAGAGAGAACGGGACAGAUGAUCCAUAAAUUUAGCAACAAACUGAGUUUCCUUGCACAAGAAAUAAAUUUCAAAUGGUUGGAACUUCGAGUUCUGUGACACACUAUAUUAUGCUACUGAGUUGAAUUAUCGUGCUUAAGAAUCCAAAGUUUUCACCCAUUAUACUGUAUGAGAAGAUCCAACCACAAGAGGAUCCCAACUAAACAAGAACACAUACAAUUACCAUUAUACAGAAAAAGCUAAUUCAGUAGCAGAAAAAGCAGAAACAAAGACUGUGUAUUUCCAACCAAUAACAGUACAUUGCUCAAAUACCCCAAAAAUAAAAUUAAAAUCAAUUAAUCCACCAGUAAAGGAUCUUACGAUGAUAUCUAUUCCACAACUAUCCAACGGCAAAUUCUUCUUCAGUGAGGAAUGAAAUAGACCAAUUAGGCCUCAACUAUUGAGAAAUUGCAAAACCAGUAAAAGAAGAGCAUGCGAAAUAAAUCAGAAAUUUAUGAGAAUCGAGCAAAAACCUUGAAUUAGGGAUUUGUGGAACUUGACAUGUUAGCCGACCUUAAUCGAGAAAAACACCUAAACUUAUUGGAUGGUUCGAAUUGUCUGAAGGAGCUGGUUGUUUAUGGUGCGAAUUAGGGCUCAACUGCUGAAAAUUAUUUGCUGAGAUUUGGUGCGUUUAACAGAGGUUGGUAGAGGGACCCUCACCGAUGUGAGACUGUAACCGGCGUGGGUGUCACCGGCGACGGAGAGCUUUGGCAGAGAGCUUUGGUUCGUCUUCUUGGCAGAGAGAAUGGGCGUGAGGUUUGAAAGAGACUUAUAAUUUUACCUUCUU
rnacentral:lncRNA from 1 species